UGGGGAAUUUUGGACAAUGGGCGAAAGCCUGAUCCAGCAAUGCCGCGUGUGUGAAGAAGGCCUUCGGGUUGUAAAGCACUUUUGUCCGGAAAGAAAUCCUUGGCUCUAAUACAGUCGGGGGAUGACGGUACCGGAAGAAUAAGCACCGGCUAACUACGUGCCAGCAGCCGCGGUAAUACGUAGGGUGCAAGCGUUAAUCGGAAUUACUGGGCGUAAAGCGUGCGCAGGCGGUUUGCUAAGACCGAUGUGAAAUCCCCGGGCUCAACCUGGGAACUGCAUUGGUGACUGGCAGGCUAGAGUAUGGCAGAGGGGGGUAGAAUUCCACGUGUAGCAGUGAAAUGCGUAGAGAUGUGGAGGAAUACCGAUGGCGAAGGCGGCCCCCUGGGCCAAUACUGACGCUCAUGCACGAAAGCGUGGGGAGCAAACAGGAUUAGAUACCCUGGUAGUCCACGCCCUAAACGAUGUCAACUAGUUGUUGGGGAUUCAUUUCCUUAGUAACGUAGCUAACGCGUGAAGUUGACCGCCUGGGGAGUACGGUCGCAAGAUUAAAACUUAAAGGAAUUGACGGGGUCAUAGCUGUUUCCU
rnacentral:rRNA from 1 species